rnacentral:rRNA from 1 species
UACGUAGGGUGCGAGCGUUAAUCGGAUUUACUGGGCGUAAAGCGUGCGCAGGCGGCCCGUUAAGACAGGUGUGAAAUCCCCGGGCUCAACCUAGGAAUUGCGCUUGUGACUGGCGGGCUCGAGUACGGUAGAGGGGGGUGGAAUUCCUGGUGUAGCAGUGAAAUGCGUAGAGAUCAGGAGGAACACCGAUGGCGAAGGCAGCCCCCUGGGCCUGUACUGACGCUCAUGCACGAAAGCGUGGGGAGCAAACAGG